UACGUAGGGACCAAGCGUUGUUCGGAUUCACUGGGCGUAAAGGGUGCGUAGGUGGUGAGGUAAGUCGGAUGUGAAAUCUCCGGGCUCAACCCGGAAAUGGCAUUGGAAACUACCUUGCUGGAGGAUUUGAGGGGGGAUUGGAAUACUUGGUGUAGCAGUGAAAUGCGUAGAUAUCAAGUGGAACACCAGUGGCGAAGGCGAAUCCCUGGAAAAUACCUGACACUGAGGCACGAAAGCUAGGGGAGCAAACAGG
rnacentral:rRNA from 1 species